ensembl:misc_RNA
UUUUCAGCUUUAGAUUGAGGUUGGAAACUGACAUGAAACCUGUAAUUCUGUGAUGGGUCAUAUGCAUGUAAUUCAUGGUGUUCUAAUUCGUGAACACAUAAAAGGACAAUUUUCUAAUUAAUGUCAGCUUUAAGUUUAGGAUAUAUCCCAGACAUUUUAGUUGCCCUUACAUAUUUUUGGAGACACUUCUCUCAGCCAUUAAUGAAGCAAU